CAGGCUAGGGGACAUGACUGGAUAGAAAGCAUCACUCUGUUCGUUCAUCUCCCAGCCUACA
rnacentral:pre_miRNA from 1 species